UACUCGAGUGGCGAACGGGUGAGUAACACGUGAGUAACCUGCCCUUGACUUCGGGAUAACUUCAGGAAACUGGGGCUAAUACCGGAUAGGAAUCCUUGCUGCAUGGUGGGGGUUGGAAAGCUUCGGCGGUUUUGGAUGGACUCGCGGCUUAUCAGCUUGUUGGUGGGGUAGUGGCUUACCAAGGCGGCGACGGGUAGCCGGCCUGAGAGGGUGGACGGCCACAUUGGGACUGAGAUACGGCCCAG
rnacentral:rRNA from 1 species